rnacentral:rRNA from 1 species
GACGAACGCUGGCGGCGUGCUUAACACAUGCAAGUCGAACGGAAAGGCCCUGCUUCUGUGGGGUGCUCGAGUGGCGAACGGGUGAGUAACACGUGAGUAACCUGCCCUUGACUUUGGGAUAACUUCAGGAAACUUGGGCUAAUACCGGAUAGGAGCUCCUGCUGCAUGGUGGGGGUUGGAAAGUUUCGGCGGUUGGGGAUGGACUCGCGGCUUAUCAGCUUGUUGGUGGGGUAGUGGCUUACCAAGGCUUUGACGGGUAGCCGGCCUGAGAGGGUGACCGGCCACAUUGGGACUGAGAUACGGCCCAGACUCCUACGGGAGGCAGCAGUGGGGAAUAUUGCACAAUGGGCGGAAGCCUGAUGCAGCAACGCCGCGUGCGGGAUGACGGCCUUCGGGUUGUAAACCGCUUUCGCCUGUGACGAAGCGUGAGUGACGGUAAUGGGUAAAGAAGCACCGGCUAACUACGUG